GUAACACGUGAGAAAUCUGCCCUUCACUCUGGAAUAACUCCGGGAAACCGGAGCUAAUACCGGAUACUCAAAUCUGGCGGCAUCGCUGGACUUGGAAAGUUUUUCGGUGAAGGAUGAUCUCGCGGCCUAUCAGCUUGUUGGUGAGGUAACGGCUCACCAAGGCUACGACGGGUAACCGGCCUGAGAGGGCGAACGGUCACACUGGGACUGAGACACGGCCCAGACUCC
rnacentral:rRNA from 1 species